rnacentral:tRNA from 1 species
UGUCGCCGUAGCUUAAACCAAAAGCAUAGCACUGAAAAUGCUAAGACAAGUUCUGAAAGACUUCGCUGACAA